UGAUAGUACCUUACUACAUGGAUAACCGUGGUAAUUCUAGAGCUAAUACAUGCUGGAAACCCCAACUUCGGGAGGGGUGUAUUUAUUAGAUAAAAAACCAACGCCCUUCGGGGCUUCUUGGUGAUUCAUAAUAACUUUACGGAUCGCAUGGCCUUGCGCCGGCGACGGUUCAUUCAAAUUUCUGCCCUAUCAACUUUCGAUGGUAAGGUAUUGGCUUACCAUGGUUUCAACGGGUAACGGGGAAUUAGGGUUCGAUUCCGGAGAGGGAGCCUGAGAAACGGCUACCACAUCCAAGGAAGGCAGCAGGCGCGCAAAUUACCCAAUCCCGACACGGGGAGGUAGUGACAAUAAAUACUGAUACAGGGCUCUUUUGGGUCUUGUAAUUGGAAUGAGUACAAUUUAAACCUCUUAACGAGGAACAAUUGGAGGGCAAGUCUGGUGCCAGCAGCCGCGGUAAUUCCAGCUCCAAUAGCGUAUAUUAAAGUUGUUGCAGUUAAAAAGCUCGUAGUUGAAACUUGGGUCUGGCUGGCAGGUCCGCCUCACCGCGUGUACUUGUCCGGCCGGGCCUUCCUUCUGGAGAACCUCAUGCCCUUCACUGGGCGUGUUGGGGACCAGGACUUUUACUUUGAAAAAAUUAGAGUGUUCAAAGCAGGCCUUUGCUCGAAUACGUUAGCAUGGAAUAAUAGAAUAGGACGUGCGGUCCUAUUUUGUUGGUUUCUAGGACCGCCGUAAUGAUUAAUAGGGACAGUCGGGGGCAUCAGUAUUCAAUUGUCAGAGGUGAAAUUCUUGGAUUUAUUGAAGACUAACUACUGCGAAAGCAUUUGCCAAGGAUGUUUUCAUUAAUCAGUGAACGAAAGUUAGGGGAUCGAAGACGAUCAGAUACCGUCGUAGUCUUAACCGUAAACUAUGCCGACUAGGGAUCGGGCGAUGUUCUUUUUCUGACUCGCUCGGCACCUUACGAGAAAUCAAA
rnacentral:rRNA from 1 species